UACGGAGGGGGCUAGCGUUAUUCGGAAUUACUGGGCGUAAAGCGUACGUAGGCGGACCGGAAAGUCAGAGGUGAAAUCCCAGGGCUCAACCUUGGAACUGCCUUUGAAACUGCUGGGCUUGAGGUCGUCAGAGGUGAGUGGAAUUCCGAGUGUAGAGGUGAAAUUCGUAGAUAUUCGGAGGAACACCAGUGGCGAAGGCGGCUCACUGGCUCGAUACUGACGCUGAGGCGCGAAAGCGUGGGGAGCAAACAGG
rnacentral:rRNA from 1 species